CUAGGAAGUUCAGAGAUGGAACGUUCACGGUCUGUUAACUACAGAGAUGAUAAUCCUAAAAAAGUAAGUCCAUACUAGCAUGAUGAAAAGGUCCAAUUUUUUUAGCAUGAUGAAAAGAUCCAAGGACAGACCUCCCGUCGCACCAGAGAAAAUGGGCCGAAAAAGGUGCCGCUCGUCGGCGUGGCGGACCCGGCGACAGCUGACGGGUGUGGAGGGAGGUGGGGUAGAUCCAGUGCGUGUGCGUGCUCAACUGCUGAUGAACCGGCUGUAGCGCUCAAUCCCUGCCAAGGGCCAGCGUGGUCUCUGGAAGAGGUUUGGUCCGGGCAUGCAUGGUUGGUGAUUCCCAGGGUUGCCGGUCUUCAUCUCUGCUGUCCAAUGAUUCUUUUAUUACAGUUGAAGGCGCCUGUGAUUGGUGUGCAAGCCAGACCUGAGGGACGACCAACAGAACAUCCUUGAGAAGACGAUGGCACCCAUCAUGCAAUCGUUCCAUGGGAUUGUGACCUGCAUUGAGAUUUCAGUGCUUUGCACUUCGCCAGACUGAGAUCAAAAAGACCCCCAUUGUAUCAAUUUACAUUCGUAACACUUUAUUAUGUCAAUUUGUUGAUUGUUCACAAUGACACUGGAUAUUCUAACAGUUGCUCAGCCUCACGUAAUAUUCCAACAGUGCAUAUUUUUUGUAAUUUUGAUUGUUCGUUAGAGUUCUAGAUACUAUGCUCGAGUAGAGUAGGUUUACUAUAACAGAUUGUUUAGGAAUCACAGGUGCAGAAGGUAUUCUACCAUCCGCAGUGUGAGGGUUUUGAAGCAGAUAUUCAUUCUAUGUGACCACGACAGGGAUGGUAUGUAUUCUGUUUGUACUUGAGACUCUUAGAUUUCCAGUGGAGUUUUGGUUUCUCCUGCUGAGAUCGUACACUUGAUGUUUAUACUAUGCAUUCAAGCUAUUCCCACACCUAAGGUCUGUUAGUGUGGAAUCUUAUUUUCUUGUAGUGUGAUUACUAUAUGCACUUAUUUGCGUGCUUUCUCACUUUUAUUUGUAUAAUCGGCAUUCUGCAGAAAUAGGGCAACAAGAUUCAGGUAUAUGAUUUGAGGUUCGUAGUGGAGAAGAGCUGUGAGAAACUGCAGUUGCUUUCUUUUAUUGCAACGCAUGGACAAUUAUUUUUUCUUUUUGGCGAUCACAGGGAACAAAUACUACGGGGAUCAAGUCGGGGAUUCAUGGCAAGGGAUUGACAUUUUUUUAUCAAAGCAGUUUGCUACACACUGCAGUGUGACAGAAAAGGUGUGCUACUGUUUCCACAUCUCCUUUUGCGAAUCACUAAUGUUUUUCCCAAGUCUUUUCUUCCUUUUUGUAUUGACCCAGAAAUAGUUUCGGCAUUGGAGUCAGUUUCUUCGAUGUUUUCAUUGUUCUUAUCGGGAAGUGUGAAGUGAAAUUGUGGAAAUUUUCCCAAGUCCCAGGUUUGCAUAGGCCCUUAUUACUGGUGUGCUGGUAUGGGCACAUGAGGGGUGUGCUAUUGAUAUUUUUAUGUGAGAUAUUUGUUUCUCAUUUUAGCGGUCAUUCAAGUGUGAGUUAUGUGUAUCUGCAACAUGUAAUUGAGUGCCGGAACUUUCAUUAUACCUUAUCAAGGCCAUUUACAGGUUUACAUGAGCAUUUGGUUAGUAGCCUCAUGACCUCAUCUAUGAAUUAUCCGUUGAUCUAACUAUCUCUUAAUCUUUUUUCUCAGAUUUUAGUUACCCAUUGCUUACACAAUGAUAGUAAGACCAAUUGCAGGGAUGUGUUGAUCUUGGUCUUGUUCUGUAUGGAGGUAGGGUACAGUUGAUGUUUCAUGUUUGGUGAAAGAAAAGGAGCUUCCUAUGUUGAUUUCGGGCAAGAUAUACAUUCUGCCAUGCAUUAGUAGAUCAAUUGCUUCUCUGUGUAGGGGAACGAUUAGUGAUUGAAUCUCUCGGUCACGUUUCUUGAUCAUCCAAUUAAUUUACCCCCAUCUAUGCAUAAAUUGGUCUGAUUGAGUUAUGCCAUUUUUUAUGUAAUAAUCUAUAUUGGUCCUAUAUAUGACUAGAACAAUAUGAUACGAUGCACAUCGGUCCGCUUUACUGGCAUCUAUCUUUCAAGGUGAAGGAGGGGAGGCACUCGUGUGGAGCUGCUCAAUGUUCAAGGAGAUACGGCUGAUUAAACCAGGUUAUUUUAAAGUUUUUACCGGUUCAUGUUAGCUAUCUAUCAGUAAUAGUACAACCUUGAUUUUUAUGUGGUUCAUGUUUACCUAACCAUCAGUAACAUUACUUUCUAUUGGAGACUUUUUACAGGAGGUGCUUAUAAAAUGAUAGUUGAACAAGUAUAGAUUUUGGAUCGCGAUCAUCUAUUUACCAGGCAUCGAUCAAAAUCUAGCAUUCUUUGUUAUGUGCCGCAUGGAAAAGAUAGAUAUUGUCUGAUAUAUCCGAUAGCGCAAUAUAAUUUUCUCUUGCAUAUUUAUAAUCUGCCAUUUGAAUCAUGUUUUAUGUGUUGUAGUCCAAUCAAGACAAUUUGCAACUUUGGUGUUGUGACGUUGGAGGCCGUGCUCAGCGGCAAUGGGGGACUGUUGUAGAUGCCUGACCUGAGAUGUCGGCGAAGGAACGAGAGUCAACGAGGAGUGCACGCCAUGGGUUCGUGAACUGGCCAAGCCACCGUUGUUCGUUUGGUAAUGUCCGACGCAUCAGAGGCAUAGUAUGACUUGCGCCGAUUUUGACGUCAUCUACCAACAUCCGACGAAGGGGAACCAGUCCGGUUUCCAUCUUGAUGGUAAGUUCUCUAAUCUUCUAUCUCAUGGGAUGUGAUGUGGUUGCUUUCAUUAUGGCUUUUGACAAAGAGUUGAAAUUAGCUUAUGUGCUUCACACAAUUGAAAUUCCAGUGAUAUUAUCAACCUUCAGUGAGCAGUGACAAUGAACUCCAUCUCCCCACACCACCACACCCAAAUAGCGUAGGAUAGACUGAUGUUUCAUGUGAUGUCCUUUAAGCUAUGUUUCAGCUUGUCUCGACCCAGCAUGUAUUUUUAGUUUCAGUUGUUGAGCUCUGCACUACAAAACCGAGAAAGACCCAAGGCUUUUUACAGUGGGAUCAUUUCUACAGACUACAAAUAGAGGGAAGUUGUCUUGUGCCUUACUAGAGACAGAUGAACCAAUAAAAUGAUUGGAAAGGCUCUUUCCAAUAAAAUGAUCUUGUACAGUUUAUUUCUUAAUAUAUUUUGGUCAGUAUGUUGUUUAUUUUCUGAAAAUGAUACUCCAUUGUAGAUUACCUAUGAUGAAAAUUACAUUCUCUGCGGGCGCUGAUUUAGAUAUAUUACUAUGGGCAAAGGAAGUUCAAAAUUUAUCUCAGUCAAACAUGUGCAAAGGAAAUUCAAAAUAUGUUAUAUUAGGGAAGAUUCUUAAAUCAGUCAAGUAUCUAGAGGGUUGAUUAGGACACUCCUCAUAAUGUUUGGUACUUUACCAUUUGGGAUUAGGCCAUUGGUGAACAUGACAAUGCGGCUGUUGGUCACGGAUGCCGGGGGCAUGGGCAGGGUUGAGGAGCUCACACAGUGCUAUAUGUGACAACCUGCGACUGGUGGCUGGAGGUGGUGUGCCUGCUGCUUGGUUGGAAGUCCGACAUAAACUCCCACGACCGACUGGUAAGCAUGGAGAUGGAGCCCGCCGCCUCAUCGAUGUGGGAGCUGCAUUGCACGUACAGGGCACGACGGCUCAUGGAUGCUGGAGCUGUAGUGCACUGUUUAGGAGUUCAAAAGCAUGAAGGAGGAGAUUACCUACAAGUGUUUAAGAUCACGCAGGAGGAUGUCAAAGUUUUCCAUUGUCCGGCACUUGUGAGCAAGCAGUAUAUGGACUUCACUCUGAUUCUAAAGAAAAAGUUGUGAAGACCUUCCAGCAUUACCCAAGGAAGCUAACACACCAACUUGUGCCAUACGUGGUAUUUUCUUGUUGAUGAAUGUUGGUGUAGUGGGGCGGGGGUGAGGAGUUGGAGAGAGAGGUGGGCGUGUGCAUGAGUGUAGUGCGUCUGGAUGAUGGGAUGCACGAUGGAGUGAUCGGUGUGGUGGCCAGCGGUGCCUGUGCUAUUGAUGUUCGAUUUGAGGGGAAGAAGAAAGAUUGGCUGCUGAUUUUGGGAGGAAGAAGAGAGAUUAAGCGUGUUGUUGUUGUUGUCAUGUGUGGCCUUGGGAGAGGAAUAAAAGAGAGUAGUAAAGAGUUGUAGAGAGAUAGCGAAGGAUUGAGAGGCUACUGCUAUUUGUAUUGCAGUUGAUGCUUGCACAAUGCUAUUGCUUAUGAUACUGGGGUAUUCAUCUUUGGGAUAAAAACAAUCAUUUCCCCCCUUCCAUAUUGUAGUCAUGACUUAGUUUUACUAACUAACCUCUCUAUAAUUAUUUUUGGAUUAUAUUUAGCUUUUUUGAAGUUGUAAAGAAUAGUUUUGACCUUUGUGGGUAGUCAAGCAAAUUCUGGUUCUUGGUUGAAA